rnacentral:lncRNA from 1 species
CAAGACGUUAUUUUCCGUUAUUCCGUUCCGUUAUUUCGUUAUUUGAUGAUCAAGAGGUGUGUCCAAUCAUGUGGACUGGAUCUACUGUCCAAUCAAAAGCAUGCAAAAAGAGAUGAUUGAUGGUUAGGGGACAGACAUUAAAUGUUGAUCUUAUUCACAGAACAAGUGAAGUGACAAAUAGAGGUGCAAAAAGGAGUGGGAAAUAGGAGAUUUACACUUCGUAGGCAUUUUAUUACUGAUCUGAGCGUGAGACUAUUUUACCAAUACAUUUUAUUUUUUUUUUGGAUGAAAAAACUAUUUUUCUUUUGGGGACAGUGGAGUCAGGAAAAAGAAAAUUCCCUUUGCCUAGACUGGGUCAUAGGUUCUAAUGUGAGACUAGCUUUAUCUUUAUGCUGUAUCUGGUAGCUACUAUUGCCAGGAGCUCUAGAGAAACCUUUGACUGGGAAAUAGUUGACUGGCACUUUGGCCUCCAUUUAAUAUUGUUAGAUUAGCUUUUCCAAUUAUUUAAUAUUAUCAAACAUGUUUUAAUUUAGUAAUAUUUUGAUAUCUUUUGAUAUUUUGCUAUAUUUUUUACAUGAUAUGUAUGUUGAUGUUUAAAUGUUUUAUGUUGAAAAAGUCUUUUUAAAAGUUUAUCCAAAAAAAUUGAGGCAUCUGUCAUUGAUUUAAUAUUUUUGGAUAAUCUUUUAAAAUGAUUUAAUAUUUUUGGAUAGACGAUAAUCCUUCUCGUGUGUGGUUAUCCCUAGUUCACUACCAUUUAGGGUGUAAAUUGCUUGUGCAUUCUUAACCCCGAAGUGCAUAACUUCUCUACGUUAAAUUUCAUCUGCCAUUUUAGCCCCCAAUCUAUUCAAAUCCCUCUGUAGCAAGGCAAUAUCCUGCUCACAUUUUAUUACUUUACGAAGUUUUGUGUCAUCUGCAAACUUUGUACAUGUAUAUGCUGUUACAUGAUCAUGAUCGCUUCCAACAGCUCUAAUGGUAUUACAGCGAUGCCUCAUGUUGAGGCAUUGCUGUAAUACCCCCCUCACUGCUGUGGUCCACCGGAGAUUACCCCCACUUCUCCACAGUGAGACAGAGCAUCGGAAGCCAUCAGGCAGGCUUCCGAUGCUCUAUCUGUACUGAGUUCCUCUAGGGGUUGAGGCACUCAGUAAAUAGUAAAGAAAAAACAUAACAUUUAAAUAAAAUUAACCCUGUACCCUCUCUCCCAUGUACAUACCGAUAACCGCGCUCCCCCGCUGGCAAUCGGUCUUCUUUGGGGGGACUCUCUGGACUGAGCCCAGAGAGUCUCCCUUUGCAAAAAAAGGACCCUCAGGGGCCAUGUGACCACUCUAAAAGAGCGGUCACAUGGCCACCAUAGGUGUCCAUAGUGUUGCCAGCAGGGGGACUGCCUGAACUGUCAUUCCUGUUGUACCCUUCAUAAAGUCUUGGCUGAUGUUUAGGUAACCAAGAGCUCUAAUUACUGCUUCACUUGAGAGUUGAGAGAAUCAUAACGGAUAUACUCAGCCGGAGUAUAUGGGAUCCAUUACAGUGGUGCAUCUGAUAUCCAUUCUGUUAAGGCAACCGGUCUCCUGUUUUCCAUUAAGGUCAUCUUCAUAGGUCCCCUGCUGGUGAAAAAGUAAAAAUAAAGCUUUAAAAAAGAA